AUGGAGGUAGAGUCAGCGAGAGCGAGUGACAGCGUCAGCGAGAGCAGGUGGUCGAAGCUGGCUGUGACGCUUCCCGUCAGGAACGUCCAGGCUCUCGCGGCGUCCACCGGCGAGCUGACGGCCGAGGUGAUUGAGCGGUACAUACAGCCGGACAUCGACGCGUUCGCUGUUCUCGAUGAGCACUCCGACGAGGUUCCGGUGAUCGACGUCAGCAAGCUUUCGAGCCCCGAGUCCGUCGAGGCAGAGGCCGCUAAGCUCAAGUUUGCCUGUGCGGAGUGGGGAUUUUUUCAGGUUGUAAAUCAUGGAAUACCAGAUGAGGUCAUCAUGGGUAUGAAGCAUGACAUUCAGAAGUUUUUUCAACUCCCCCCCGAUGUUAAGAAUGCAUAUGCUCAGCGGCAAGGGGAUCUUCAAGGUUAUGGUCAAGCGUUUGUUGUCUCUGAUGAUCAAAAGCUAGAAUGGGCUGACAUGUUUGCGCUCUUCGCCCAACCACCCGAAGCCCGUGAUAUGAGUUACUGGCCAUGUGAACCCCAUACUUUCAGGAAUUUUAUUGAAAAGUACUCUUCGGAGGUGAUGAAACUUGCUCAUUCUCUUGGCGUCUUCGUUGCAAAAACACUAGAUCUUAAUCCUGAAUUGGUUGAAGACAAACAUGUGGCGCAAUUUCUCAGGAUGGGCUACUACCCUCCAUGCACGCCAAUGCCAGAAAAGGUUUUAGGCUUCAAACCGCAUUCUGAUAUGUCAUUCCUAACUAUUCUACUGGAAGUUAAUUCAGUUCAAGGCUUACAAAUUAGAAGGCAUGGUGCAUGGAUACCUGUGAAACCAUGUCGCGACGCACUAUUGGUGAAUGUGGGUGACCUUCUUGAGAUUAUGACAAAUGGGAAGUACAAGAGCAUUGAGCACAGGGUUACCAUAAAUGCCCACAAGGAGCGACUAACCGUGUCUGCAUUUCACCUCCCAAAUUAUGAUGGAAUAGUUUCACCAAUUUUGGAAACUAGAGAAGAGAAGUUGUUAUACAAGACAGUGAAAGUAGAAGAGUAUGCAAGACUUUUUUUCACAAACAAACUUGAAGGAAAGAGAGCCCUAGAUCAUGCGAAGUUAUCCCAAUAA
rnacentral:rRNA from 1 species